UCGUGGGGUGACUUGUCUGCUUAAUUGCGAUAACGAGCGAGACCUUACUCUGCUAAAUAGCCCGGCUAGCUUUGGCUGGUCGCCGGCUUCUUAGAGAGACUAUCAACUCAAGUCGAUGGAAGUUUGAGGCAAUAACA
rnacentral:rRNA from 1 species